GAUUUGAGGCACUGGAUGUGCGACACACAGUAAACCCCCCUCGGCUGCUGCUUUUGCAGAGAACUUGGGUCCUCUCCCAGCACCAUGUGGUGGCUCACAAUCAUGUGUAACUUCAGUUCCAGGGCGUCCAGCACCCUCUUCUGACCUCUGGGGGCACCGGGCACAUGGAUGACACAUAUGCUUGUGUGCAGGCAGAGCAUUCACACAGGAAAACUAAGCCAGUCUUCAAAAAUACUUUGUAAUUGGUUUAAUGUAGACACAGUUACAUAAGGGCCAUAAAAACUACAGUCCAUGCCAUUUGCUGGACUGUGAAAGCAUCUGCAUGUGUGCACUUGUGUGCCCAUCACACACACACACACUCACUCAUGUGCCCACCCCACACACAUAUACACACACACAUUCACUCAUGUGCCCACCCCACACACAUAUACACACACACUCACUCAUGUGCCCACCCCACACACAUACACACACACACACACUCACUCAUGUGCCCACCCCCACACAUACACAGUCACUCAUGUACCCACCACCCACCCACCCCCACACACACACAAUCAAAAAUCUUUAAAAAAAAAAAAAAA
rnacentral:lncRNA from 1 species